UGCAGUCGAACGGUGAAGCAGAGCUUGCUCUGUGGAUCAGUGGCGAACGGGUGAGUAACACGUGAGCAACCUGCCCCUGACUCUGGGAUAAGCGCUGGAAACGGCGUCUAAUACUGGAUAUGUGACGUGGCCGCAUGGUCUGCGUCUGGAAAGAAUUUCGGUUGGGGAUGGGCUCGCGGCCUAUCAGCUUGUUGGUGAGGUAAUGGCUCACCAAGGCGUCGACGGGUAGCCGGCCUGAGAGGGUGACCGGCCACACUGGGACUGAGACACGGCCCAGACUCCUACGGGAGGCAGCAGUGGGGAAUAUUGCACAAUGGGCGAAAGCCUGAUGCAGCAACGCCGCGUGAGGGAUGACGGCCUUCGGGUUGUAAACCUCUUUUAGCAGGGAAGAAGCGAAAGUGACGGUACCUGCAGAAAAAGCGCCGGCUAACUACGUGCCAGCAGCCGCGGUAAUACGUAGGGCGCAAGCGUUAUCCGGAAUUAUUGGGCGUAAAGAGCUCGUAGGCGGUUUGUCGCGUCUGCUGUGAAAUCCGGAGGCUCAACCUCCGGCCUGCAGUGGGUACGGGCAGACUAGAGUGCGGUAGGGGAGAUUGGAAUUCCUGGUGUAGCGGUGGAAUGCGCAGAUAUCAGGAGGAACACCGAUGGCGAAGGCAGAUCUCU
rnacentral:rRNA from 1 species